AAUGAGCAGCAUUUAUUAGCAAGGCUUGACUUGUAGCUGACUGUCAGGGCAAUGUUUAGUUUAAACUGGAAAACCGGCAGCAUUCAUUUUAAUACGCAGACCGGUAUGCUGGAAAGUUCUGGCCUUACUCUAAAUGAAUGUAAUGUCAGGGCUAGUUCUUCCAGUCACUGACACUGUGCAUUGAUUCCUCCAACAUGCAGGGAAUUCUCCAUUCUACCAGUCCAAGUUAAAUAUUAACAUGAGUUGUCAGUAUGUGAACUCUGUGCUACAUUUGCACUGAGAAAGUGAGCGCCUUGGUUAAGCAUUCAAUCAGAUGGGGGGAAAAAAACCAAAACACUCAAAAAACAAUGCCUUGAACUGUAACUUGUUUGUUUGACUUUCACUGCACUGGAGCAUGGAAUUAAUUCAAAGACAUCAGGAUGCAUAACAGCUGUGAAAUCCAAAGGAUGAAAACUUUGAUUUUGAAGCAUGCACAACUUCGCCUAAUUGCCUCUAAUCCUCAUCAGGAGUAGUUAGCAUUGUAGAAACAAGGAGAUCUUUCCAUCUCUUUGAGCUUCCAUCUGAGAACUCCCCAGUCAUUUGAGGUUCAUGGCAGAGCCUUCUGCUAUUCACUGUGCAUUUCUCUGCCUGAAGUGGUCUGAGGGAUUCAAUGCCUUGAGCCCUCCGGACUGGUGGCCAGGACCCAGGCAGUGUGAGUGCCACUGAAAAUCAGCUCGUGUGCCACCUUCAGUACACGUGCCAUAGGUUGCCUACCCCUGCCUGAGAAAGAUGGUGUGAUGGCGUGCAACCCCAGGAAGGGGUGUCAGUCUUCAGAGAAUUCCCAGAGUGACCAGGAGGAGGUGCCAGACAAGUGGUGAGUGGAGCACCCUGUGACAGUGACCAAUCACAGAGGCUGAAAAGUGAAUUCCAACUAUCAGGUAUUCAAAUGAACACAUGAUAAACAGUUGAUGAUCAUCUGUCUCAAAUAUGUUUGUAAACACUAUUCAUUAAACAAGUAUGAAUAAUGCUCACAUGAAAUCAUCACCUCUUUGCAGAACAGAAGCAAGGGUCAACUCCAAAGUAUAAAUUGGCAAUUGUAGACAAGCCUGAAGAGUAAUAAAAAGAAUAUUUUCAUCCUAA